CGAUUUCGACGGUUUCUGAUGUUGAAACCCAGCGAGAGGAGAAGUUCCAGAUAGAUCUGAUGGCUCCACCUCCAGUAAGAUCAUCUCCAGAAAGGGACAGUGAGAUUGGUUUUGUGGCCAUAGAUCCUAAACCUAGAAUCACAGAUGUGGAAACGGAAAUGAAAGCGGCGGUCAAAGAUGAUGAUAAGGCAGUGAAAAUUGGAAAAGAUGUGAAUAUGGAACGAGAGGAGAAAAGGACAAAAGUGGUUGCUGAAGAAGCUGAAUGCCAUAAACCAGUUGUUAUUGCUAAUAAAGAGAGGAAUAUUGAUCUUCAGCUUGAUUUGGAGAAACCUGAUGGUGUCAUCGUUGCUGGAAGUGGCAACAAGGUGCACCAAGAUGUUCAGAAACAACAGCAGCAACCGCAACCACACACUGAGAAAGCUGCUCAAUCAAAUUCUCUUCCUCUACCUAUGUCAAUGGCUGCCUGGCCCGGUGGGCUUCCUCACAUGGGAUAUAUGGC
rnacentral:misc_RNA from 1 species